rnacentral:rRNA from 1 species
GCAGAACGCGAAGAACCUUACCUGGGCUCGAACGGCGGACGACGUCUCUUAGAAAUAGGAGAGUUUCCUUCGGGAACGGCCGUCGAGGUGCUGCAUGGCUGUCGUCAGCUCGUGUCGUGAGAUGUUGGGUUAAGUCCCGCAACGAGCGCAACCCUUGUCCUGUGUUGCUAAUCUUCGGAUGCACUCUCAGGAGACCGCCAGCGACAAGCUGGAGGAAGGUGGGGAUGAUGUCAAGUCAGCAUGGCCUUUAUGUCCAGGGCUACACACGUGCUACAAUGGGCAGGACAGACCGUUGCAAACCCGCGAGGGGGAGCUAAUCGGAGAAACCUGUUCUCAGUUCGGAUUGCAGGCUGCAACUCGCCUGCAUGAGGCUGGAAUCGCUAGUAAUGGCAGAUCAGCAUGCUGCCGUGAAUACGUUCCCGGGUCUUGUACACACCG